rnacentral:rRNA from 1 species
ACGCACGCUGGCGGCGUGCUUCACCCAUGCAAGUCGCACGCUGAAGCUUGGUGCUUGCACUGGGUGGAUGAGUGGCGAACGGGUGAGUAAUACGUGAGUAACCUGCCCUUGACUUUGGGAUAAGCCUGGGAAACUGGGUCUAAUACUGGAUACGACAUGUCACCGCAUGGUGGUGUGUGGAAAGGGUUUUACUGGUUUUGGAUGGGCUCACGGCCUAUCAGCUUGUUGGUGGGGUAAUGGCUCACCAAGGCGACGACGGGUAGCCGGCCUGAGAGGGUGACCGGCCACACUGGGACUGAGACACGGCCCAGACUCCUACGGGAGGCAGCAGUGGGGAAUAUUGCACAAUGGGCGGAAGCCUGAUGCAGCGACGCCGCGUGAGGGAUGACGGCCUUCGGGUUGUAAACCUCUUUCAGCACGGAAGAAGCGAAAGUGACGGUACGUGCAGAAGAAGCGCCGGCUAACUACGUG